CCUACGGGAGGCAGCAGUGAGGAAUAUUGGUCAAUGGGCGCGAGCCUGAACCAGCCAAGUCGCGUGAGGGAAGACGGUCCUAUGGAUUGUAAACCUCUUUUGUCGGGGAGCAAAAGACGCCACGCGUGGCGUUCCGAGAGUACCCGAAGAAAAAGCAUCGGCUAACUCCGUGCCAGCAGCCGCGGUAAUACGGAGGAUGCGAGCGUUAUCCGGAUUUAUUGGGUUUAAAGGGUGCGUGGGCGGAUGUUCAAGUCAGCGGUAAAAUUGAGAGGCUCAACCUCUACUUGCCGUUGAAACUGGUGUUCUUGAGUGAGUGAGAAGUAUGCGGAAUGCGUGGUGUAGCGGUGAAAUGCAUAGAUAUCACGCAGAACUCCGAUUGCGAAGGCAGCAUACCGGCGCGCAACUGACGCUGAUGCACGAAAGUGUGGGUAUCGAACAGGAUUAGAUACCCGUGUAGUC
rnacentral:rRNA from 1 species